UGGCGGACGGGUGAGUAACGCGUGGGCAACCUGCCCUGUACCGGGGGACAACAGCCAGAAAUGGCUGCUAAUACCGCAUAAGCCUGCUGUGCCGCAUGGCACAGCAGGGAAAACCACGGUGGUACAGGAUGGGCCCGCGUCUGAUUAGUUAGUUGGCAGGGUAACGGCCUACCAAGACAACGAUCAGUAGCCGGCUUGAGAGAGUGGACGGCCACAUUGGGACUGAGACACGGCCCAGACUCCUGCGGGAGGCAGCAGUGGGGAAUAUUGCACAAUGGGGGGAACCCUGAUGCAGCAAUGCCGCGUGGGUGAAGAAGCACUCCGGUGCGUAAAGCCCUGUCAGCAGGGAAGAAAAUGACAGUACCUGGACAAGAAGCCCCGGCUAACUACGUGCCAGCAGCCGCGGUAAUACGUAGGGGGCAAGCGUUAUCCGGAUUUACUGGGUGUAAAGGGAGCGCAGGCGGCGUGGCAAGUCAGAUGUGAAAACCCGGGGCCCAACCCCGGGAGUGCAUUUGAAACUGCCAUGCUGGAGUGCCGGAGAGGUAAGCGGAAUUCCUAGUGUAGCGG
rnacentral:rRNA from 1 species